UUCGCUUCUCGGCCUUUUGGCUAAGAUCAAGUGUAGUAUCUGUUCUUAUCAGUUUAACCUGAAACUGUUCUUAACCUGAAGCACCACUUUAGCUAAUGGGGCGUUCUGCUGCUGCAGCGCCGCCGGAGCCCGAUUUCUGUUCUUAUCCUGAAGCAAAGUUCUUAACCUGAAGCACUAUUUCUGGGUUAGGGGAGUGUGU